GUUGUAGCUCAGUGGUGGAGCAUCUGCCUUGAAGGUCCCAAGUUCAAUUCCUGGCAUCUCCA
rnacentral:tRNA from 1 species